rnacentral:misc_RNA from 1 species
GUCUAUCUAGUACAGUACGAUCAAUCAAGUCAUUCAAGAAAGUAUCUUCGCUAGGUUUUCUAAAAUUCUAUUAGAGCGGGUAGUUGAAAUUGCUCCCGAUAAAGACUUUCAAUUCCUUUGUGCAUCUUUAUUUUCCCAUGUAUUUCUUGGUUGGUAAACAAAGCCAACCUGCAAUUUAAAAAAAAGUCUUUCUUCCGCAAGAAAAAAAGCGGAACUCAUAAAAACGAAUUCGCUAUGAAAAAAAAAUUCUUG